CGGGACCCGAGGCCAAGGGCAGCGGCCCGCGCUUUGGAGCAGCGCCUGGUGGCAGCGGCGCCUCGUGGCCUCAGAGCUGGUAGCGGUCAUGGGAGGGCGUGUGUGAGGAAGGUCUCCCAGGAGCUUUUAAUUCCUUCUGUACACGUCUAAGAGGUUUCUCUGGCGAUGCCAGCCGAGAACAAACCCGAGGAAGUAGCAGGGCUGGAGGUCUUGGAGGCUGAGUGGGCCAGGAGAACCAAGUCAGUAAGCAGCACCCCGCCAUGGCCUCUGCAUCAACCCCUGCUCCACGUUCCAGCCAUGCCGGAGCUCUGAUUCUGAUGUCUUACAAUAAGGGACUAUGAUCUGGAAGUAUAAGGCAAGUAAACCCUUUCCUCCCAGACUUGCUUUUUGGUCAUGGUGUUUCAUCACAGCAGUGGAAACCUUAACUAAGACACAAAUGCUUGAAAUUUAUUAGUGAUUUAUCAGAAAUCCAAAUUUAAUUGGUA